rnacentral:rRNA from 1 species
UGGGGGAUAUUGCACAAUAGGGGAAACCCUGAUGCAGCAACGCCGCGUGAAGGAAGAAGGUCUUCGGAUUGUAAACUUCUGUCCUCAGGGAAGAUAAUGACGGUACCUGAGGAGGAAGCUCCGGCUAACUACGUGCCAGCAGCCGCGGUAAUACGUAGGGAGCGAGCGUUGUCCGGAUUUACUGGGUGUAAAGGGUGCGUAGGCGGAUCUGCAAGUCAGUAGUGAAAUCCCAGGGCUUAACCCUGGAACUGCUAUUGAAACUGUGGGUCUUGAGUGAGGUAGAGGCAGGCGGAAUUCCCGGUGUAGCGGUGAAAUGCGUAGAGAUCGGGAGGAACACCAGUGGCGAAGGCGGCCUGCUGGGCCUUAACUGACGCUGAGGCACGAAAGCAUGGGUAGCAAACAGGAUUAGAUACC